GCACUGCUGAGGAGUCCCAUAAUAGAACGAAACAGCCGUUCAGUGC
rnacentral:hammerhead_ribozyme from 1 species